rnacentral:lncRNA from 1 species
AAAAACAUAAAACAAAACCCUGGAGAGUCGUUUUUGAAAGAAGGAACGACCCACCCCUCUGAUUUUGGAGCACCCAACAACCUUCUUCAACCUUAGAACCAAAACAAGCUGAACCCUAAACCCCCAUAGACCACCAACUGCCGCCAGCCUUAACGCCCAAGACUCGCCAAAAAACGAGCACCAGUGUCGCUGGCUACAAACUAUCCAGCCGCCAGUCAUCUUCGCCAUCUCCAGCCGUCCACCUCCAGCCGUCUCGCCGGAAUUCAACCACCUCCAUACACAAACGACCUCUAUCAGCCUCCACCCUAACCCCGAUCUCCAUCAGCGACCACACCCGCCGAACCCCACCCCAAAAAACGACUUUAGAGACGAAGAAAAAUAGCAACAAUUGCUGCUUCUUCAACUCCUCCUCCCACUAACCAGUGGCGAACUCGCCGAAAAACACACAGCCAAAUCGCUGGAAAGAAAUGGGCCAUGUUGUCGUCCAAGGUUCGUCGGUCCCGGUUCGUUUGUGCAAGGAUUCACGUUCGGAUUUUGUUUUUACUUCUGUUGCUUGCCUUAUUUGAUAUGCAAAGAAAGCAAAUUUUAGUUUGUUCGAUUUGUCGCUGUUUGCACUUGUUCGAGCUUGAAAUUUCGUCACUGACGUUUCAUUUGUCCGUGCGCUCGAUCAGAAAUUAAGUAUAAGGAAUUUGCUUGAUAAGGUUCACUCUAACCCCUUCUCAGUUGUUUCAAUGCUUGGUUACAUUUUAAUGUUGAAUAUUUUUUCCCUUGCUUGUUUGUUUUGUUUUGCUACUCAUUUGUUCUGUUUUAGAAAAUCUAGUAAUGUUCUUUUUGUUUAAUUUUGUUUUUCUUCAUUGAUUUAGUUCUUCUCCAUGUGGUGUUCAUUUGAAAAUUCCAAAUAGUGGAUGCAAGUUAAGUAAUCAGAGUCGUUAAGAGUUUAUAGUAAAUUAAUUUGGGCCUUUUAAUAGUAAUUGGGUUUGGAUUUGUAGAAAUAAAAUCAAAGUGGAUGUUUGGCUGAUACCUUAGGCUUUACACAUACAUAGUCUUUAACGAGUUUAUGUUUUGGAUUAUUGUUAUACCAUGACAAUAUGUUCAAUAGAGUCAUAGUUUAAAUUAAUAUGUUUGUUUGAUAUUUCCGUUAGAAGCAUGCUUAGGCCGGCAACACUCGGGUAGGCAAGCCUUAGGAUUUUGUUAGUUUCAAGGCGAGAGAUCGUUCCUUUAGUUAAAUUUAUCCGGGGAAUGCCCCGAGGGAUUUGUAUAUAUUUUAUUUCAGGGGUAUGCCCCGAAGUGAAUGUAACGGAGGCCGCAUCUACACCGUGGAGGAAGUAUAGUGUAGGUUAGCUUAGAAUUUUACUUUUUAUUAUUUUUAUUUUUAUUUUUCUUUUAUUAGGUGGGGACGACCUAGAUCCUCUUUUGUGUUUAUUUUUGUUUGUGUGUUUUCACCUAAAUUUGAGUAUUCUUAAAAGCCAACUUGAUCAUAUAUGCAACAGUACUAGUUUCGGGACUCGGGGAAUGCCUAACACCUUCUCCCCGAGUCAAAUGAACCCCCUUACCCGAAUCUCUGGUGCAGACUUAGUUUCGGAGUCUAAAGUGUUUUAAAAGGAAAAUCUAUUUCUUAAAAAAUGGCGACCUGGCACACCGAAACCAAUGUCAGGUGGCGACUCUGAGUUAUUUCCUUUUGAACAUAAUUUUUGUCACGUUCUAAUUGGAAAACCCUUUUCAAGCUUUACAAAUCACUUUUAUAUUUUUAAGAGGGUUAGUGAGGUUUGUAAAAAAAGAGUGUGACAUCUCUGGCGACUCUGCUGGGAACUUGCAGGUUCGAGCUAGUACUUGAUCUUGUUGGCUUUUAGGAUAUUCGGUUGAGGUGUUUGUUUUCUUUAUUUGCUUUGUUUGUCUUAUUUCCUUGUUUUGUUGGUUAUUUGUUUAUCGCCUUUCUUAAUGUGCUACUGCUUUAUAAACUGUCAUCAUUUGCAUAACCAUGGGUCUUCUUUCUGCAACAAGUCUCGGAGUACGCGUCGCGUGCACGAACUCUUUGUUGAGUCACCAUUAAUUUAGGAGGGGGGCCGUCGGGCGUAUGGAGUGGGUGGAAAAGCUUGAGCAGCCACCAUCGACCAUACGCUCCCCCGAAUUGCCUUGUUAGUGAACCCCAAACUUAGGUAAGCCUUUAGGUCAUUUUUAUUUGCAUAAUGUUAUUUAGACAUGGCAGGGCUCGGUCCCAGGUAUCGUGUCCCGUCGUAGGAGGCCUAUCCAAAUUAUGUAAAAAAUGAGCCCAUUGCCCAAUGACAUUUAAUCAUCCUAUGUGCUAAAUGUUGCAUCUACGAGGGUAGAAAGGUCAUUUGGCAGACCGAUGUUUUGGAAAGAAGGGUGAAAAAUGAAGCAAGUUAUUUUUCUUUCACAACUUUUUCAAUAAAAAACCAAAUUCUUUUUAUACUUUCCCAUUAUUUUCCCAAACAAAUCAAAAAAAAAAGAAAGAAAAGGAAAGUUCAAAAAGAUUUUGCACUUUCCCAUUAUUUUCCAAAAAAUAGAAAAAAAAAAGAAUUCCAUCAUUUUUUUUCAAAAACUAUAGUUUCUCCAAAUUAGUUGCAUUUUUUAAGCUUUCUCUCGUGUCAGAUCUUCUCGAACUACGCGAACCUGAUUCUCGUCUUUCGGGGCAGGAUACGUAGGCAACUCACAUAGGGUCCGGUCUUUCUUAGUAAGCCUUAGGUUUUUGGCUUCGCGGGGUCUUAGCCAAAUCUUGCAUAUCUAGCCACUUUUGGCCACACCGACUUUGUUGCAAAAUGGGGCUAUUUUGCGAAGUGGCUUAUUGGGCCGUGUUUGGAGAGUCUAGAAUCCACAAUUAGGUGUCUCCCUACUUCAAGGCCCGUUCCUGUUGAAUUUGCGUGUCUAGCCAUUUUUGGCCACAUCGGUCAUUCUUGCAAAAUGGGGUCAUUUUCGCAAAAGUGGUUCAAUUACCCAUGUCUUAGGAUCUUGAGGCCACAACUCGAUAUCAUAUCACUUUAAGGUCCAUCCUUGUCGUGUUUGUGUCCCUAGCCACAUUUGGCCACAUUGACCGUUUUUGCAAAAUGGGUCAUUUUUGCAAAAUAAUUUUGGGCCAUAAUUAUUGGGGGUUUGAAGCCAUAUAAGCCUUACUGAGGCAUUUUUCACGUUUUUGAGGUCAGUCUUGUUGAUUUUACCCUAAUAGCCACAUUUUGGCUACGUAGGUCAUUUUACAAAAAUAGCCUUAAUCAUGCCUUGCAUGUGUCCAAUAGAAGGUGUCGUGGCAUCACAUGUGUCUUGAGUCUAACUCUAUUUGAUCUUAUUUUCCCAUUCAGGUAUGGAUCAGUGUACCAAAGCUCGAGCAUGAUAAAUACCCCAAGACCACUGCAUUUAUGAGUUGCUUAUAAAUACUUUUAUGUUUUAGUCUAUCUUAUGUUGUCUUUUAAUUUUUAGUUUUGUACAGUAGUAUCUAGUCUGUCAAUCUAGUUAUGAUUGUCGAGUCUUUUGUUACAGUACUUCCUGUUUUGUAUUUGAAAAACCAAAAAAAUUACUAAAUGAAAAAUCCCAAAAAAUGUUUGUUUCUUAGUUUAUUUUGUCCAUUAUUUUUUUAGAACUAGGCGUGAUCUGAUUCAUGAGGGGCAUGAUACGUAGGCAACCUACAUAGGGUUCGAUCGAAUAAUCUUUUAAAAAAACAAAGAAAGGAAAAAAAAAAGAAAAAAAGAAAAAAAGAGAUGAAAUUGUGCAUGUGAGAAAUGAGAGGAAAAAAGAGAGAGCGAUAAUUAGAAAGAAAAGAGGGGGAAAGAAAUGAAAAACCAAGCGGUGUUAGAAAGGAAAAUGAAGAAGGAAAAGGGCCAGAAGAGUGAAAUUGGGAUGAAUGCUCUCGAAGCAUAAGUCAUCCCAAUUGUUGUUGCUAGGGGCAUUGCACGGAAUAUGAUAUUUCUCUUUGAUAAAUGCUCUAACGCUAACAUGUUGGCUUUGUUUUGGUCCUCUUUAUUACUUUCAUUGUUAUUAUAAUAGAGGGUGGUUAGUUUUUGGUACUUUGGUGAUUCGUCCAUACAACACCAGAAAGCAUAAGUCAGUCAUGGCUAGCAAAGAAACAGACACUGAGGUUGUACACCCACCAAGGGAGAUUGUAGAAUCAGAAUCGGAACUGAAAGAGGAGGUCUGAAGGUUGAAACAGCAGAUGGAAGAGAUGUAUCAGUCUUGGGUCCGGGGGCAUCCUCCACCUUCAUUCCUCACUAACUACACUGAAAACUCUGCAACUAUCCCACCAUUAUCACAAGCCCAGGUUCCCACUACCGUUGACCUUUCCUCUCAACAUGCACCGGGCUUUACCCCUUACCACAAUUACCCUGGCACUUCCUCCCAAAUUUUCCAUGCUCCACCAGCCAAAACAACCUCAUACCCUGCUCCGACAUCUGCUCCUAUUUUUGUAGCUCCUCUACCAGCUACUCUUCCUCGAUCCUCUAGCGAGACUGUGUUCAAAAUCCUCGAUGCUCAAGGAAAGAGACCCAAGUAAAGUUUAGGGAGUUUUGGUUCAGAUGGAACGAACAAGUUGCUCGGGUCAGUUCUUCGAUUGAUAGAAAAGAUGUUUCUGAGCCCCGCCAAAGACAUGAUCCAGUAGGCAUUCCUACUGAACGUUUUCAGCCUCAAUACCGGCCCCAUAAAUAUCCUCGUACUCCAGAUAAUCCUCACCAAUGAUACUUCCCUCCACAAAAUCCCCAAAGUCAUACCUCACAUCCCCAUUACUCUAUCCGCAAUGCACCGCCAUAUGCUCCACACUCACAAAACCCGCAACGGAUUGCACCGCCUCCAUAAAUGUCCUACCCACCUCUACAAGCAUAUCAACCCCCUACCCAAAAGAGGUUCCAACCAAGGUUGGAGUACAAAAUGAGGAGGCAGUAGCAAAGAGAAAAGUCUUUCACUCCAAUCGAAGAAUCCUACACAAGCUUGUUUGAAAGGUUAAAAUAGUCUAGCCUGAUUGAGCCGCUCAUCGACUAUACUCCGGACCCAUAUGCAAAAGGUUUUGAUUCUACUGUACGGUGCAUGUACCACUCUAAUGUCCAGGGGCAUAACAUUGAAGAUUGUCGUGCUUUGAAAAGGGAGAUAAAAAGAAUGAUUCAAGAAUGGAUAAUUGUGGUCCAAGACAGUGUCACCCAGAACAUCGCGCAGAUUCCUUUACUUGCACAUGAUAAUGCACACUUUGUGGGAGAGAUGUGUGGUGAUAAGGAGUAUGAGAAUCCUCUGGGGAACUUGCUGACUGAAGUGAAUGAUAUUGAAAUUGAUGAAGGUCCCAGUAAUUUUGAUGUACAACCCAGUGGAUAAGACGUCGAGCUUGGUAAUUGGAAAGACACUCCUUUCUUGGUAAUUGGAAAGACACCAGGGAGGAGUUUCGAUGGCUUAUUUUGUUGUUAUUUCUGUUUGUCCAGGUUAUUUCGGGGUUGUACUCCGGACAUUGUCUUGUGGAUCAAACCCUUCUGUUUCUUAUUUUACCUAGUUCGUUUAGUGAUAGUAACUCGUGUAGUGUUAUCUAGGAUUGUUCCAGGGUUGUAACCCAUGUCUAUUUUGCUUGUUUUGUUCAAACCCUUCUCAUCAUCUGUCUAAUGCAAUCUCAUGUUUUUUGUUAGUUCUAGUCAGUUUCGUUUAGGUCAUUUUUUCUUUUAUAAUUCUUUUCAUGCUAACUCUAGUAACAUGACAUGCACACAUAAUUCUCAGCCUGGUCUUGAAAGUUAGUCUAAUCAUGAAGUAAUGACGCGGUUUUUGAAUAUGAUAAAAGAGGCAUUUGAGGAAACAAGUAGAGAUUCACGCAUUCUAAGAUUACCUGAAAUUUAAAUUGAGUGAAACCGAGAUAGUAAAUCUGGGAAAUCAAGAGGUUGAUAAGAGCAUACAAUAAGGAAAUGUCUCUCAAGCAGUUUGAGAAUAACCAGUCAGUGCUGAAAUGCAUUCUUCCACAUCAAUAUAAGGUUGAGUCAAGUCUGAUUCGAAUUGGUAAGGAUCAUUCAUUGGACCAAAGGUAUUGCUUGUCGGCACUUUUAGUUUGUGAUGAUGCCAUCAAUAGAUAUUGUACAUGAUUUCUUUGCUUAUCUUCAAUUGCAUGUUUGUACUUGGCAUUUUAAAGUUUAGUAUGACGAAGGCAUUUUAUUCUGCUACCCCAAACAUUUUUAUCUUUUACUACCCCUUUUGAGCCUUAAUUUUCAACUUUACUACCCCUCUUUUGGAAUCAGAAGUAGAGUUGGGAACUAGAAAAGAAAAAGAAAAGAUAAAAAGAAGAAAAAGAAGAGAAAAAGAAAAAAAGAAAAAGAAAGAAGGAAAAGAAAAAAACAUUAUUUUUUGAACUACGUUCGACCUGAUUCUUGUCACCACAAGAUACGUAGGCAGCCUUACGGGUUCGGUCGCACCAAAUAAAAUAUUUCAUGAUCUUCCGAAGUCAAGAGUGGGGCAGAUUUUCUUAGAAAUCCCAUCAAAAUAAAAGGCAAAAAGCAAAAAAAAAAAUCCCCAAACUCCAAGAAACUGGGGCAGAAGUUUUAAUUUUGCCAAAAGGCCUAAUUCCAAAAGUUAUAAAUUUGAACCAUUUCAUCUUAAAUUAUUUUGAGCCUUCAUGCCACCCUUUCUUUCUAACCCUGUCCAAAAGCCUAUAUUACGGUCCAAAGAAAGACCUUCCAACCAAUCUUUGAGGAUGUCAAAUAAAGUGUGCGGUAAAAGUCUGAUCUUCUUGUAUCAUGGGUAAUACCUUGUUCUCAUCGCAAAGAGAGAAAAUGAUAAAAUGAGAGAGUCUUUUUGGUGAAAACACUCAUGGUCACCGUAAGGCGAUAGUGAGUUGAGAAAAAGAGCAAAAUAAGAGAGACUUGAUGGUGAAAACCCUUCAGGGCACUACAAGUCGAUUAAGGAUUGUGGACCAGAUGGGACAAUUGAAGCGCUGAAGCCCAGUUUCACAGCGAAGAGGUACAACAAGAGUUGAAUAAUAGACUCGCUUGAGAGAUUAGGCCACUUAAUCCAAAGGUAUGUGUCAUGGUCAUUAGAGUUGGUAUCCACAUCUGAUAAGUUUCUACUUUGUAAUUUUCUUGUUAGGUACCAUCUCUUUUCCUUGUUCCUUAUAUUGUUCCUCUUGUUUUGUUUGAGUCCCUUCUUGAGUCUAUUUGGUCAGAACAAGUGAGAAAUGACUUCAAAAUUUGCUACCAACUUUCCAAUUGCACAAAAUGAACUUGGCUAUCACAUCAAAGUGGCAUAAGUCAGGGAAAAGUGGUAUGCACACUGAGUUGGUAACAAUCAACAUGCUUUAGGAUUCAUGUGAAAUGCAAGGGUUCGGUAAAUGUCAAUUCAUGAGCAAAAUGCAACGGAUAGAGGAUAUUGGGAUCGAAUGGAAAAUAGGUAUUUUCUGUGAUAAGGGUUGAAAUAAAAUGGGUAGUCGAUGACAGACAAAGUUUUCCAAGUUGAAAUCAAAGUUAUCUUGGCAAGUGCAGAAGCAACCGCCUUCAAGGUCAAGGCCAUAAACUAACCAUCACAUUUAAACUCACAAGUUUUCUUUGUUUGAAACAGGAACAAAGCAGUGCAAGCAAGUGGGUUCAAAAACAAGAAAAAAGAAAAAAGAAAAAAAAGAAGAGAAGAAUCGACAAAGGGAAGUUUCUCAAAUCAUUUCCCUUAUCUAUCUUGUUAGUGUGCCUAAAAUGUUGCCAUUGCUCUUCACAUUUUUCCUCCUAGGAUAAAAAGUCCUAGUCUGGUGGAUUUUCCUCCCAAUCAAAUCUUAGUCUGAUAAAUUUUUCUCCUAAGAUAGAAAACCUAGUUUGAUGAAUUUUCUCCUAGGAUAGAAAUCUUAGUCUGAUGAAUUUGUCUCCUAAGAUAACAAAAAGACCUAGUCUGAUGAAUUUUCUCCUAGGAUAAAAAUCUUAGUCUGAUGAAUCUUUCUCCUAAGAUAACAAAAAAACCUAGUCUGAUGAACUUUCUCCUAGGAUCAAAAUCUUAGUCUGAUGAAUCUUUCUUCUAAGAUAACAAAAAGAUCUAGUCUGAUGAAUUUUCUCCUAGGAUCAAAAUCUUAGUCUGAUGAAUCUUUCUCCUAAGAUAAGAAGGACCCAGUCUGAUGAAUUUUCUCCUAAGAUCAAAAUCUUAGUCUGAUAAAUUUUUUCAUAGGAUAAAAUCUUAGUGUGAUGAAUCUUUCUCCUAAGAUAAAAAGACCUAGUCUGAUGAACUUUCUCCUAGGAUCAAAAUCUUAGUCUGAUGAAUCUUUCUCCUAAUAUAACAAAAAGGGACCUAGUCUGAUGAAUUUUCUCCUAGGAUCAAAAUCUAAGUAUGAUAGAUCUUUCACCUAAGAUAAAAAGACCUAGUUUGAUGAACUUUCUCCUAGGAUCAAAAUCUUAGUAUGAUGAAUCUUUCUCCUAAGAUAACAAAAGGGAUCUAGUCUGAUGAAUUUUCUCCUAUGAUCAAAAUCUUAGUCUGAUGAAUCUUUCUCCUAAGAUAAGAGACCCAGUCUCUUGAAUUUUCUCCUAGGAUCAAAAUCUUAGUCUGAUGAAUCUUUCUACUAAAAUAACAAAAGGGACCUAGUCUGAUGAAUUUUCUCCUAGGAUCAAAAUCUUAGUAUGAUGAAUCUUUCUCCUAAGAUAAAAAGACCUAGUCUGAUGAACUUUCUCCUAGGAUCAAAAUCUUAGUCUGAUGAAUCUUUCUCCUAAGAUAAAAAGAAAAUCUUUCUCCUAAGAUAAAAAGAAAACCUAGUCUGAUGAAUUUUCUCAUAGGAUCAAAAUCUUAGUCUGAUGAAUCUUUCUCCUAAGAUAACAAAAAAAAGGACCUAGUCUGAUGAAUUUUCUCCUAGGAUCGAAAUCUUAGUCUGAUGAAUCUUUCUCAUAAUAUAAUAAAAAAACCUAGUCUGAUGAAUUUUCUCCUAGGGUCGAAAUCUUAGUCUGAUAAAUUUUUCUCCUAAGAUAGAAUACCUAGUCUGAUGAAUUUUCUUCUAGGAUAGAAUCUUAGUCUGAUGAAUUUUUCUCCUAACAUAGAAAACCUAGUAUGAUGAAUUUUUCUCCUAAGAUAACAACAACAACAACAACAACAAAACAACAACAACAAUAACAAAAGAGAAAAAAAGAGAAAAAAGGGACUUAGUCUGAUGAAUUUUCUCCUAGGAUCAAAAUCUAAGUCUGAUGAAUCUUUCUCCUAAGUUAGAAGACCUAGUCUGAUGAAUUUGCUAGUCAAAUAUUCUUGGUUUUAUUCACAGGAGACGCACAUCCUAGUCAAGUCUUUAGUUUUAUUCUCAUAAUUGCAUCAAUAGCAUAGGUGAUUUACAGUUUUGCUAACAACUCACCAAUCUUCCUUGGGCAAACUGGGGCAGAAAAUUUUGCUUGAUUUGUUGUUUUGAUUGCAGGAACCCACCUGGAGAAUGAGGGAAUUCGUUUCGAAAUUAUUUCAAGAUUCAAGUCAGUAGCAGGCACCCACCUGGAGAACGAGGGAAGUCAUUUAAGAAUUCAAUUCAAGUUAGAAGUAGCAGAAGCUCGUGGCAAGAAUACGAGUCAACAAUCCGAGAUGACCAGCAUAAGUAGUCUCAAUCCAAAAAAAAGAAGAAAAAGAAAGAAGAAGAAGUGAAUCCAAAAUGCAGAAGCAGAAAGAAAAAAAGAAGAAGUGUGAAUUGCUCAAGACAUGGUUGAAGUCAUGAGCGCUACAUGUCCGGUCUUGAUCCGAAAAGCUAAAGAAGAAUGAACUAGAACCUGCAGCUAGCAAACGUCAAGGUUCAAAUCUAAAGUCUGCAUGAAGAACCAUUUAAGACUCAAGAUCAAGCUUCAGAAGACUUAUAGAUAGGAAUUUUGUAACUUAUAGCUAACAUGCUUAGUUAGUCUUUUUUAUUAUUUUUUAAUUUUGAUGUAAUAACAGGACCGCGGACUAGAACCUCGACGGAAUGGUACCUCGACCGGCUCUCCACCUUAGUAUACUACAUCACCUCAUUCACUUCUGAAUACACGUGACCUGAUUUCUUUAUAGCCAAGGAUAUGUAGGCAGCUCAGAUACCAGGGCUCGGUCACAUUCUUCUUCCUCUUAGUUUUUGGUCUCGCUAAAUAAGGGUCGGGUCAAAAAACCUGUCUAGUCGUUCUUUGUCUGAAAAUACUUCAUAUUUCCAGUCAAAAAGGGGCAGCUGUAGACAUGUAAUUUUUGACCCUCCCCGAGAUUUCACCCAUUUUAGCGUAAAAUAUUUAGUUUAGGCCUAAUAUCGAUAUUUCAAGUAGUCUCGACUCUUUUACUUUAUUUUAUCAAAAAAAUGAAAAUUACAAAAAAAAAAAAAUUCUUCUUUUAGUUGCUUUUAGUUUAUUAUUUUUCGUAAAACUAAAAAAAUACAAAAAUAGUUCCAUAUUUCUCUAUUUAAUUCACGUAUUAGAUAUUUUUAGAAGGAUAUAUUACUUUGAACCUAUUUCUAUUUUAUUUUAAUAUAAUCUUUGAAAAUGCCAAAAAUAGUUUCAACUUUAAUUUGUAGUUUUAAUUUAAAUAUAAUAGUUUAUUAAAAUCAAUUGAGAUUUAUUUUAUACCUUGUUAUAGUAUUUUUAAAAAACAAAUUAAUUUUUCAGCAUUUUUCUAGCCCAAUUUAACCCUAGCCCAUGUUUUAUGUGACCCUAGUACAUAAAAGACUACACCCUUUUUCAUAUUCUUCGGGAACCUUAGACAAAAACAUACAACAAAACCCUAGAGAGCUGUUUUUGAAAGAAGGAACGACCCACCCCUAUGAUUUUGGAGCACCCAGCAGCCUUCUUCAACCUUAGAACCAAAGCAAGCUGAACCCUAAACCCUAAGAGACCACCAGCCGCCGCCAGCCUUAACGCCCAAGACUCGUCGGAAAAUGAGCACCAGUGCCGCUGGCUACAAAUCAUCCAGCCGCCAGUCAUCUUUUCCAUCUCCAGCUGUCCACCACCGGCCAUCUCGCCGGAAUUCAACCACCUCCAUACACAAACGACCUCCAUCAGCCUCCACCCUAACCCCAAUCUCCAUCAGCGACCACACCCCGCCGAACCCCACCCCAAAAAAUGACCUUAGAGACGAAGAAAAAUAGCAGCAAUUGCUGCUUCUUCAACUCCUCCUCUUACUAACCAGUGGCGAACUCGCCGGAAAAUGCACAGCCAAAUCGCCGGAAAGAAAUGGGUCACGUUGUCAUCCAAGGUUCGUCGGUCCCGGUUCGUUUGUGCAAGGAUUCACGUUCGGGUUUUGUUUUUACUUCUGUUGCUUGCCUUAUUUGAUAUGCAAAGAAAGCAAAUUUCAGUUUGUUCAAUUUGUCGUUGUUUGCGCUUGUUCGAGCUUGAAAUUUCGUCACUGACGUUUUAUUUGUCCGUGCGCUCGAUCAGAAAUUAAGUAUAAGGAAUUUGCUUGCUAAGGUUCACUCUAACCCCUUCUCAGUUGUUUCAAUGCUUGGUUACAUUUUAAUGUUGAAUAUUUUUUGCCCUGCUUGUUUGUUUUAUUUUGCUACUCAUUUGUUCUGUUUUAGAAAAUUUAAUAAUGUUCUCUUUGUUUAAUUUUGUUUCUCUUCGUUGAUUUUGUUCUUCUGUGGUGUUCAUUUGAAAAUUCCAAAUAGUGGAUGCAGGUUAAGUAAUCAGGGUCGUUAAGAGUUUAUAGUGAAUUAAUUUGGGCCUUUUAAUAGUAAUUGGGUUUGGAUUUGUAGAAAUGAAAUCAAAGUGGAUGUUUGGCUGACACCUUAGGCUUUACAUGGAUAUAAUCUUUAACGAGUUUACGUUUUGGAUUAUUGUUAUACCAUGCCAAUUUGUUCAAUAGAGUCAUAGUUUAAAUUAAUAUGUUUGUUUGAUAUUUUCGUUAGAAGCAUGCUUAGGCUGACAAUACUCGGGUAGGCAAGCAUUACGAUUUUGUUAGUUUCAAGGCGAGAGGUCGUUCCCUUAGUUAAAUUUAUCUGGGGAAUGCCCCGAGGGAUUUGUAUAUAUUUUAUUUCAGGAGUAUGCCCCGAAGUGAAUGUAACGAAGGCCGCAUCUACACCGUGGAGGAAGUAUAGUGUAGGUUAGCUUAGGAUUUUAUUUUUUAUUAUUUUUAUUUUUAUUUUUCUUAUAUUAGGUGGGGACGACCUCGAUCCUCUUUUGUAUUUAUUUUUGUUUGUGUGUUUUCACCUCAAUUUGAGUAUUCUUAAAAGCCAACUUGAUCAUAUACGCAACCGUACUAGUUACGAGACUCGGGGAAUGCCUAAUACAUUCUUCCCAAGUCAAAUGAACCUCCUUACCCGAAUCUCUGGUGCAGACUUAGUUUCGGAGUUCAAAGUGUUUUAAAAGGAAAAUUUAUUUCUUAAAAAAUGGUGACCUGGCACACCGAAACCAAUGUCAGGUGGCGACUCUGAGUUAUUUCCUUUUGAACACAAUUUUUAUCACGUUCUAAUUGGAAAACCCUUUUCAAGCUUUACAAAUCACUUUUAUAUUUUUAAGAGGGUUAGUGAGGUUUGUAAAAAAAGGGUGUGACAGAGGAGAAUGAAGAAGGAUAUCGUUACAUAUGUGGCUCGGUGUUUGAAUUGUCAAUAGGUUAAGUAUGAGCAUCAGAGGCCGGGUGGUUUGUUUCAGAGGAUUGAGCUUCCCGAGUGGAAGUGGGAGCGGUUCAUUAUGGAUUUCAUUGUUGGACUCCCACAAACUCGGAGGAAAUUCGACGCAGUGUGGGUCAUUGUUGAUAGGCUGACCAUGUCAGCGGAUUUUAUUCUCGUGACAGUCUCUUAUUCUUCCAAGAGGUUAACUGAGAUCUAUAUCCAGGAGAUUGUUCGCCUUCAUGGUGUGCCCGAGUCUAUCAUUUUGGACUGUGGUACGCAGUUUACCUCACGGUUUUGGAGGGCCGUUCAGCGAGAGUUGGGCACACAAAUUGAGUUGAGCACAAUGUUUCAUCCUCAGACGGACGGGCAGUCCGAGCUGACUAUUCAGAUUUUAGAGGAUAUGCUCUGAGCUUGUGUCAUUGACUUUGGAGGCUCGUGAGAUCAGUUUUUGCCUUUAGCAGAGUUUGCCUACAACAACAUCUACCAGUCGAGUAUUCAGAUGGCUCCUUAUAAGACUUUAUAUCGUAGGUAGUGUCGGUCUCCGGUUGGAUGGUUUGAGCCGGGAGAGGCUCAGUUGUUGGGUAUGGAUCUGGUUCAGGAUGCCUUGGACAAGGUCAGGAUUAUUCCGGAUAGGCUUCGUACAGCUCAGUCCAGGCAAAAGAGCUAUGCCGACCGCAAGGUUUGAAAUUUGACUUUCAUGGACGGUGAGCAUGUAUUGCUUCGAGUGUCGCCUAUGGAGGGCGUGAUGAGAUUUGGGAAGAAGGGCAAGCUUAGCCCUAGGUUCAUUGGCCCUUUUGAGAUUCUUGAUCGAGUGGGAUAGGUGGCUUACAGACUUGCAUUGCCGCCGAGCUUAUCAGCCGUGCAUCCAGUGUUUCAUGUGUCCAUGCUUUGGAAAUAUCACAGCGAUCUAUCCCACGUGUUAGAUUUCAGCACUGUCCAGUUGGACAAGGACUUGUCUUAUGAGAAAGAGCCAAUAGCUAUUCUAGAUCGGCAGGUUCGUCAGUUGAGAUCGAAGAGUUUUUCUUCUACUCAUGUUUAGUGGAGAGACCAGCCUGCUGAGGCAUCGACCUGGGAGUCCGAGUCCGAUAUGCGGAGCCGUUAUCCCCAUCUUUUCCCCGACUUAGGUACUUCCUUCUUAUGUCUGUUCGAGGACGAACGGUUGUUUUAGAGGUGGAGAAUGUGUCGACCCAAAAGGUCAUCACUUAUUUUUAAAAUGAAUUCUUCAUUCUAAGGCCUUAAAAACCUCUUUCAGCAUCACCUCAAUUUGCGUGUGCAGUCCGUACGCGCGUAGUCGGAAAGCUAAUAUGUGAAAAUUUGUGAAAAAUAUUGAGAUUUUGACUUAAAAUGCAUUUAAGUUGACUUCGGUCAACAUUUUGGGUAAACGGACCCGGAGCCAUGAUUUGACGGUCCCGAAGGGUCCGUAAAAAAAUAUGGCACUUUGGCGUAUUUCCGGAAUCGAAUUCCGAGGUCCCAAGCCCGAGAAAUAAUUUUUUUAAAAAAUUAUUUUCUGGAAAAUUCUAUGAGUUUUGGAAAUGAAAUGCAUUUAGAAUUUGUUGGUAUUGGGCCCGUAUUCUAGUUCCGGAGCCCGGUAUAGGUCUUAUAUGUGAAAUAAGAUAAGUCUGUGAAAUUUGGUAAGAAACGGAAGUCGUUUGAGGUGAUUCGAACCCGUAGUUGUGAAAAUUUAUGUUUUGAAAGUUUUGAGAUUUUUUUAGAUUUUCAUACUAAAUUCGUUGUUUAAGAGGUUAUUUUGGCGAUUUGAUCGCACGGAUAAGUUCAUAUGAUGUUUUUGAGUUAGUAUGCAUUAUUGGUUUGGAGCCCUGAGGGCUCGAGUGAGUUUCAGAUAGGUUUCGAGAAGUUUUUGAACUCAUAAAAGUUGCAGGUUUUUCAGUUUCUAGUGUCUGGUGUUGACUAUUAUGCGAUCGCAUAGGGCCUUUCGCGAUCGCAUAGCUCAGUGUUAAGGGAGGAAAUCUGUAACACUAUGUGAUCACUUAGCAUGUUUCGCGAUCGCAUAGAGUGGUAGGUAGGCUGGGGGACUGGGGUAGCUUGUUCUGUGCGAUCACAUUUCCUCAUUCGCGAUCGCGUAGCAUAGGAAGCAGUCCACUAUGUGAUCACAUUCCUUUCUUCGCGAUCGCAUAGACCAAAAUCCGCACAGUUAUUUUUAAGUUCAAAAACAGAAUGUAUUAAGGGAAUUUCACCAUUUUUCACAAACUUCUUCUUCUCCACACCUUUUGGGCGAUUUUUGAAGAGAAACUUCACCAUAGCUUCAUAGGUAUGUAAUCCUAAGCUCGUUUUCUUCCAUUUUUAUCAACACCCAUUAGAUUUCUAGGCCUAAAACAUGAGAUUAAGGGUAGAAAGUUAGGGAUUUGUGUAGAGUUAGGGCUUUAUGAUUAUUUGGGAACUUGACCUCGUUUUGGGGUCAGAUUUCAAAACAAAUUAUAUAUUCGGGCUCGUGGGUGAAUGGGUGAUCAGGUUUUGGUCCGAACCUCGUAUUUUGACCAAGCGAGCCCGUGGUCGAUUUUUGGAUUUUUGGGAAGAAUGUUGGGAAAUCUAUAAUUAAGCAUUGGAAUUGAAUUGUUUAGCAUUUAUUGAUGUUAUUGAGUCAAAUAUGUCUAGAUACGAUUGAUUUGGAGUCGGGUUCGAAAGGAAAAGUGGUGCUUGAGGCCUGAUUUGGAUCAUUGUAGUCGAGGUAAGUGUUUGGUCUAACCUUAGCUUGAGGGAUUAGGAGUUGUGUCCUAUUUGCUACUUGUUUCUUGUUGAGUACGACGUAUAGGCAUGGUGACGAGUAUCUAUAUGUUAGUGUCGAGCAUGACCAUGGGCCUUAAAUUGAAUUAUGUUGUGUUAUUAAAUAAUACUACGGAUGCUUAAGUUGAUGAUUCUCUGUACUGAGCAAGGAUUAUGAUUAUUCUCGUGGAAAUUAGUUAUGACUGAGUAUUGGUGUUAGCUGAGAUAGUUAGAUGUUGGAACAAGUUUGGUUAUAGCUGUUUCUCCCUUGCCGGGAUGUAGUUUACUUAUACUGUCGAUUCCCUUGCCGGGAUAGUGUAGUUCUUGAUUGCUCCCUUGUCGGGACCCUUGUUAUGAUUGUUGUUGAUAUUAUAUGUGGAUCGGGUUGCAUGCCACAACAAUAAUAUAAUUGGAUCGGGUUGCACGCCGCAACAAUGAUAUAAUUGGAUCGAGUUGCACACCGCAAUAGUGAUAAAUGAUAUGGAUCGGGUUGCACACCGCAACAGUGUUGUUAUGUGAUAGGAUCGGGUUGCGCGCCGCAACAAUUGAUGAAAUAAAGUGUUUAUAAAUUGGUUACAAGUUCCUUAUUGCUUUGUUGUAGAUUCUAAGUUAUCCUUAUGCCUUUUCUUGAUUUACUGUUGAUAUUGACAUACCCCCGCAGCAUGUACCCCCUCUCAUCUUUACUUGCUGUUCCUGUUUUAUUUUCCGUUACAUAUUAUAUAACUGCAUAGGUUUAUUUGGUAGUAUGGUCCUAGCCUCGUCACUACUUCGCCGAGGUUAGGCUAGACACUUACCAGCACAUGAGAUUGGUUGUGCUGAUGCUACAUUCUGCACUAUGUGUAGAUCCCAGAGUAGCAUUUGGGCGGCUGUCUUCAGUCCAGCUAGAGAUCCCGAGGUAGUCCUGCAGGCGUUCGCAGGCCCGGCGUUCUCUUCUAUCUUAUUAUGUAUUUUGUUUUCAGUUGUUUCCGAGACAGAUUGUACUUUCCUUUCAGACAUUUGUUGUAGUAUUCAUAGACAAUCUGUGAUAUUGUGACGCCGGAUUCUGGGUAGAGACGUAUGUUGGCAUUGUCGUACUGGCUUUAGUUAUUUUAUUAGAUUAAGUCUUCCGC